GCUGCUUUCACUUUCCCUGUAAGUGACUGAAAACGUAUCCAGAGCUGGCAAAGGAGGAAUCUGGCUGUGCCUUGUUUUCCUUGCUACAUCAACAGAAGGAAGAAGUGAAAAAUCUCCAGUAAAAGCUCUAAGAUCAGGACUGAGGCAUCUUGGCGGGACAGUAGAAGAAAUCUCCAACAUUUUACUGCUGAACUGUAUAUGUCAAUGACUAUGAGCAGUGCGUCAGCCAUGAAGGCUAUAAAUCCAGCACUCCUCAUGUUUUAAAGGGAACAACCACCUAUUCACAUUUUGUUUCCAAGGUGAUAGACAUAAAAAGUAUCAAAGCUUUCAGCUAAGCAAAUCAAGGCAUCGUUGUGCAAUGCUGUGUAAGUGGCUCAGGUCACUGAGACUGAAAAGUGAGGAAGCCUGGAAAGAAAAGGAGGAGCCUGGAAAAAUGCAGGCAAG